GGGCUUCGUUGGCAAAUCGACGGUCGAGAUCGUCCGCAAAUCUCUCCGGAUGAUCGGGUGUCAGAUCGAAAAAUCGGAAGCGGGGAUCGUCAUCAGCGCGUCGUUGUGAGUCCGAUGGUGUGUUCGGAUCGUCGAUCGGACUCCGGCGGCUGGAGGCGAGUCGACCGAGCGACCGAGCGUCUCGGUAAUUUUUUUUUGGCCCGUUAAUUUUAGAAAUUCUUGGUUUAAUUGUGUCUAUUGGAUUAUAUUGUGUAUUUGAUGAUAUU
rnacentral:lncRNA from 1 species